AGCCUCAUCAAAAGCUAAGUCCGAGGACACCCAUUUUACUACACGUAGACUCCAUUUUCCCCAGAAAUGCAAAACAAAAUUAUCUGCUACUCUCUCUCUUAUAAACCCUAGUAUACACACUACUUCCAUAUUGCAACCUGAAGAAACCCAAUUUCACCUCAUAAAUUUAUAGAUUCUGGGUUUAUCACUCUCAUUUUUAAGAUUAAAGAACAAGUGACAAAAACAAAAGUAAACAAAAAUGAUGAUGUGGGACGAAAAUUGGUUCGACGAGAAUAACAACACUGAUGAGCAACACCAAGAAUCUUCCUUCAAUUUUGAUUUUCUCUCUCUUCUUUCUAAACCCAAGGACUAUUAUAAGAUACUGGAAGUUGAUUAUGAUGCUUCAGAGGAAGAAAUUCGGUCUAAUUACAUUCGACUAGCUCUGAAGUGGCACCCAGAUAAGCAAAAAGACCAGGAUGGUGCUACAUCAAAGUUUCAAGAGAUAAAUGAGGCUUACCAAGUUUUGAUCGAUCCCGUAAAGCGGCAAGAAUAUGACAUGAAAGGGAUGAUGGUUUAUGACUACACUACUAUUGAAUAUCUAAAUCGCUAUAAGGGGCUUAUUCUAACUUGCAAUGGCCUCGGCAUGAAGCAUUCUAUCUGGUAGGUCUCCUAAACAUGCUCAGAGAUCGUGCUUUAGAUCACUGCGAACUAAACAGGAUACAGCAUAGAGAGCAGGGGAUGCGGUUCCAGAUGUAGCUGAUUGAAAUGCAAACCUUAUGCUGAGAUGGGUGAAGCCUCGAGAGUUAGAAGUCUGAUCUUUUUAACAGCAUUGGAAAAUACAUAGCAGUUUUGAUGGCCCAUGGUAGCUGUUGUGAAGGUGAUCUGCCGGCUGUUGCUAGUUGGUGUUCACCUUGAAGUAGUAUAAGAUUGAAAUGAGUUGAAGCAUAUGUUUAACUUCCUGGUUCAGAUACAAAGUCGGUCCGGCCCUCUAUAUUAAUGAUUCAAAUUAGAGACGAUGCUGCGAGGGAUUUAUUGCUUUGUCAAGUCAGCUGGGAAAAGUUGAUGAGUUGAAUGAAUAUCGAAUAAGCCUUUGAACCAUAUAGGAAGCAAUUAUCUAGCGGAAGCUUCGUAUGUUCUUUACUUCUAUCAAAUGAAACCAGAAAAUUGAUAUCAGGAAUUGGAUUGAACAUUAUACUACAAACGAAAAAGGAGUUGGGGAUUAAUGGUAGCUUGCUUUUCAGUAGGCAUGCUUCCAUGUUCAACAAUUCUUUGGCAAAAAUUGUCGGAUACAUAUGUUUAAAUGUUAGAAAACUUGUGCAAAAAUAAUGAACAAAAACUAAGACUGUGUCUAUUAAUUGAGGUAGAAAGGAGAGGUAAAUUGUCAGAGUCUGCAAUAGAGGCCCUGUUCUUCUGGAACAAUGCCAGUUUGCUGUGCAGCAGCCAGCAGGUAUGAAUGGGAAGUUAGUAUUCUA